GCAGCCGCGGUAAUUCCAGCUCCAAUAGCGUAUAUUAAACUUGUUGCAGUUAAAAAGCUCGUAGUUGAAUUUCUGCGUUAUCGAGUUAUUGACUCUUGUCUUUAAUCGAUUUCGCUUUUGGGAUUUAUCCCUUUUUACUUUGAGAAAAUUAGAGUGUUUCAAGCAGACUUUUGUCUUGAAUACUUCAGCAUGGAAUAAUAGAGUAGGACUUUGGUUCUAUUUUGUUGGUUUUUGAACCUUAGUAAUGGUUAAUAGGAACGGUUGGGGGCAUUCGUAUUUAACUGUCAGAGGUGAAAUUCUUAGAUUUGUUAAAGACGAACUACUGCGAAAGCAUUUGCCAAGGACGUUUCCAUUAAUCAAGAACGAAAGUUAGGGGAUCGAA
rnacentral:rRNA from 1 species